AUAAAUAUGGUUUACAAGCGUAGCAUAAAAAUUAAUUGUUUGUGUUUUUUGGUCAUUUGAUAAAACUUUGAAGAAAAUACCAAAAAAAAAACUAAACUUAAUAAUUAAAUAAAUUUUAAUUUUUUUUAUCAUUAAAACUAACUAAAACAAAACUAAAAUCAAUUAUGCAACAAUGCGGUGGAUGCGGUACCUGCAAGUGCCAGGGACAGUGCAACUGUAGUUGCUGCAAAAAAUGAUAAAGUUAUGGACUGGUAUUUGGAUAAAUGAUUGUUACAACACAUAACAGGAUGUCCAUAAUUACCACAUUACAACAUCAAUAAUAAUAAUAAUAAUUUUUAAAAAUUUCAACUUAUUUUUUAUUAUAUUAUUUUAAUUAUGUCAAAAUUUUCUGAUAUAUUAAAUUUGUAAAACAGAUUAUAGAAAUUAUUUAAAUGAAAAAUUUUUAAUAAAUAAUUUUUUAUUGUCAAUA